rnacentral:lncRNA from 1 species
UCACGUGGAGCGGGGUUCGUGCGACACUGGAUUGGGGGCGGUGGCGAGCUGGCUCACAGUUCACAGUGGAAAAUGGGAGCGGGCUGCACGAUUAUUUGGCAUGGUUCAGAGAGGUAAAAAGGGAUGCGGACGCGGCUUGGGAUGCGGAUUGAGAGAGAACUUCACAGUUUUAAAACAAAACAAACUUUCAUCUUUAGAUCAUUGGCCCAUAUUGCUUAGCUAAAUAAAUCUCAUCCUUCCUGACAUCUAUAAAUAAAGCCUAAUCCUUUACCUAAAAAGAGGAUGGGAUAAAGUAUUUACUCCAACAUUGCAGCG